UACAGAGGAUGCAAGCGUUAUCCGGAAUGAUUGGGCGUAAAGCGUCUGUAGGUGGCUUUUUAAGUCCGCCGUCAAAUCCCAGGGCUCAACUCUGGACAGGCGGUGGAAACUACCAAGCUGGAGUUCGGCAGGGGAGACUGGAAUUCCUGGUGUAGCGGUGAAAUGCGCAGAUAUCAGGAGGAACACCGGUGGCGAAGGCGGGUCUCUGGGCCGAAACUGACGCUGAGGAGCGAAAGCGUGGGGAGCGAACAGG
rnacentral:rRNA from 1 species